UGUGUCUGUCAUGUUGGUGUUUACUGUCGUGGUGGGAAGUUGAGAUGGGUUUGUGACUGCAUUCUGCCUCUAUAGAGCGACAUCAGUGCUGGAGCCGUUGUCAGAGGGGGAGUGGAGGUGACAUGACAUGAAAUACUGUGCAGCACCAAGAACAGAAAAAUGUUCUGCAUUGACUGUCAAAGUAACCAUUGAUGCUUACAGAAUUUGUCGCGUUACAAAGAUUUGAUCGAUGGAGGAUUUGUUUAGACGAAAGCCACACUGAUAAUCACCUAUACUGCGCUCAACAAACGGGAGAGGCCUGUCGAAAUAACCUUAUAGCCAAGAUUUAACACUCCCGCCGACUGUGAAGUGCGGUCAGUGAUAACGC